AUAUCCAGAAGCGUAUUUUUUUUGCCAUUAAAGCACAUUUUAAAGUCAAUUAACAUAUAAUUAUUGAAUCAAUUUAUACAAAAAACAAGCUACAAAACAACUUGAAGUGGUUGUCAUGUAAGGACACGGCGGCCCCAAAAUGGCAGCAUGUCAGUCAGCAGAUCCUGCCCUUGUCCCCUGCCCUUCUCCAAUCAAUGCCAUUGAUCUGUCCCGGGGGGGUCAAGGGGCGAGAACGUAUCAAUAGGAGAAGAGUGGCUGAUGCAGCAUUCAGAGACGGGCUGACUCCAGACAGAUCGAUGACGUCCCUGUCUGCCAUUGAAAUGAAGACCCAGCUGGAAGCAAUGACUUUUCAAUGCGCUGUUGGGCCAGUUGGACAAGGGGAGUGCUGAGACAGCACGGUUUUCGAACCAACAAUGCUUUGCUCAACACAUCUGGAGGGAAAAGUGGCUUUCAGAGGUGAGAAAGAUGGAAGAGUUCACGGUCCUUAAAAUAAUCUCGGUGCUAAUCUUGUCAAAAGUAAUCUAAACAUACGUCAUACGUAGAGACAGACGGGUAUUCACGAUCAAUUGGAACACUAGACCCGCAGAAUUCAACUAAAAUCCAAAUAGUUCCAGAUCCAGAAAUUGGUCCGGUCCGAACAAUUGACCCAUAGGAUCAGGAUUUAAGUGGAUUGUUCAUAUAAUUCACCGAGACUUCUUAUUUUUGGUGACCUGAGUUUAAACCUGAGUGGGUAUGUUUGGUCAACUGGCACUGUCCACUUUUCACUUCGAGAGCAACAUGUGUAUUUUCUCUCGCCUCAUGGUCAAUUGCCUCUCACUCAGUCUUGUUUCUUGGUCAGAGGACUUUGUGAAACUGAUAAACCAGUACCAUGAAAUCUAAAAAAAGUCUCCUAUCCAAACUUAAAAUACUUCAUAAUUGAUUGACUGUAGGUCCUGGUCCGUAUUUUGUCCGGAAUCAGACCAUGUGCGCUGUAGAAAUCCUCCCCCUGAGGACUCUAAGUGGGUUUCGAAUAUAGGAUAAGGGAAUCUUAAAGAACCAAAUUAUAGAAUGUGAACCAGAUUGUUUAUUCCUGACAACAAUACCUAAUACAGACGUCCGGGCUUCUCUGCAGUCCCUGUAUGCCUACAAGUAAGCGGGUCUUAUUACAGCGUAGCUACAAAAAAGCACCCUUCCUUCCCCUGCCUUAUACACUCGAGGCUGGAGUCCUGAGGCUGGAGUCCUGGACCAAUUAGCUUUCGCCACUGCCCUUGCAGUGAACAUUCUGCAAGUUGUCAUAUGCGUACUCGAUGUUUCCACCUUAACUGUCAGAUGUCACGUUAGUCCUUUUUUGUGUGGGUGCUCUUAUAAGUAUCCUUUGUAUUUGUGAGACUAUGUGUUAGCUUUUAUCUUUAGCUAGCAAAAUACCUUCAGCGCCAAUUAGUG